rnacentral:rRNA from 1 species
CUGGAGGUAUCAGAAGUGCGAAUGCUGACAUAAGUAACGAUAAAGCGGGUGAAAAGCCCGCUCGCCGGAAGACCAAGGGUUCCUGUCCAACGUUAAUCGGGGCAGGGUGAGUCGACCCCUAAGGCGAGGCCGAAAGGCGUAGUCGAUGGGAAACGGGUUAAUAUUCCCGUACUUGGUGUUACUGCGAAGGGGGGACGGAGAAGGCUAUGUUGGCCGGGCGACGGUUGUCCCGGUUUAAGCGUGUAGGUGUGUGUUCCAGGUAAAUCCGGUUCACUUUAACACUGAGGCGUGACGACGAGGCACUACGGUGCUGAAGCAACAAAUGCCCUGCUUCCAGGAAAAGCCUCUAAGCAUCAGGUAACAUCAAAUCGUACCCCAAACCGACACAGGUGGUCAGGUAGAGAAUACCAAGGCGCUUGAGAGAACUCGGGUGAAGGAACUAGGCAAAAUGGUGCCGUAACUUCGGGAGAAGGCACGCUGACACGUAGGUGAAGUGAUUUACUCAUGGAGCUGAAGUCAGUCGAAGAUACCAGCUGGCUGCAACUGUUUAUUAAAAACACAGCACUGUGCAAACACGAAAGUGGACGUAUACGGUGUGACGCCUGCCCGGUGCCGGAAGGUUAAUUGAUGGGGUCAGCGCAAGCGAAGCUCCUGAUCGAAGCCCCGGUAAACGGCGGCCGUAACUAUAACGGUCCUAAGGUAGCGAAAUUCCUUGUCGGGUAAGUUCCGACCUGCACGAAUGGCGUAAUGAUGGCCAGGCUGUCUCCACCCGAGACUCAGUGAAAUUGAACUCGCUGUGAAGAUGCAGUGUACCCGCGGCAAGACGGAAAGACCCCGUGAACCUUUACUAUAGCUUGACACUGAACAUUGAGCCUUGAUGUGUAGGAUAGGUGGGAGGCUUUGAAGUGUGGACGCCAGUCUGCAUGGAGCCGACCUUGAAAUACCACCCUUUAAUGUUUGAUGUUCUAACGUGGACCCGUAAUCCGGGUUGCGGACAGUGUCUGGUGGGUAGUUUGACUGGGGCGGUCUCCUCCUAAAGAGUAACGGAGGAGCACGAAGGUUGGCUAAUCCUGGUCGGACAUCAGGAGGUUAGUGCAAUGGCAUAAGCCAGCUUGACUGCGAGCGUGACGGCGCGAGCAGGUGCGAAAGCAGGUCAUAGUGAUCCGGUGGUUCUGAAUGGAAGGGCCAUCGCUCAACGGAUAAAAGGUACUCCGGGGAUAACAGGCUGAUACCGCCCAAGAGUUCAUAUCGACGGCGGUGUUUGGCACCUCGAUGUCGGCUCAUCACAUCCUGGGGCUGAAGUAGGUCCCAAGGGUAUGGCUGUUCGCCAUUUAAAGUGGUACGCGAGCUGGGUUUAGAACGUCGUGAGACAGUUCGGUCCCUAUCUGCCGUGGGCGCUGGAGAACUGAGGGGGGCUGCUCCUAGUACGAGAGGACCGGAGUGGACGCAUCACUGGUGUUCGGGUUGUCAUGCCAAUGGCACUGCCCGGUAGCUAAAUGCGGAAGAGAUAAGUGCUGAAAGCAUCUAAGCACGAAACUUGCCCCGAGAUGAGUUCUCCCUGAGACUUAGAGUCUCCUGAAGGAACGUUGAAGACGACGACGUUGAUAGGCC